rnacentral:rRNA from 1 species
GACAGAGGGUGCGAACGUUGUUCGGAAUUACUGGGCGUAAAGCGCAUGUAGGCGGCAGCGCAAGUCGGGCGUGAAAUCCCACGGCUCAACCGUGGAAGUGCACUCGAAACUGCGCAGCUAGAGUCCUGGAGAGGAAGGUGGAAUGCUUGGUGUAGAGGUGAAAUUCGUAGAUAUUAGGAAGAACACCGGUGGCGAAGGCGGCCCACUGGAUCGGUACUGACGCUGAGGUGCGAAAGCGUGGGGAGCAAACAGG